rnacentral:rRNA from 1 species
UGCAUAUCAAUAAGCGGAGGAAAAGAAACUAACAAGGAUUCCCCUAGUAACGGCGAGUGAAGCGGGAAGAGCUCAAAUUUGUAAUCUGGCACUUUCAGUGUCCGAGUUGUAAUCUCGAGAAGUAUUUUCCGCGCCGGACCGCAUACAAGUCUGUUGGAAUACAGCGUCAUAGUGGUGAGAACCCCGUAACUGAUGCGGAUGCCCGGUGCUUUGUGAUAUACUUUCGAAGAGUCGAGUUGUUUGGGAAUGCAGCUCAAAUUGGGUGGUAAAUUCCAUCUAAAGCUAAAUAUUGGAGCAAGACCGAUAGCGAACAAGUACCGUGAGGGAAAGAUGAAAAGCACUUUGGAAAGAGAGUUAACAGUACGUGAAAUUGUUGGAAGGGAAACGCUUGAAGUCAGACUUGCUAUUCGGAGUUCAGCCGCAAGGUGUAUUCUUCGAUUUGCAGGCCAGCAUCAGUUUUUGGGGGUGGAAAAUCGUGGUUUGAAGGUAGCAGUUUCGGCUGUGUUAUAGCUUUCCACUGGAUUCAUCUUCGGGGACUGAGGAACGCAGUACGCUUUUUGCAAGGCUUUCGAGCUUUUCGUACUUAGGAUGCUGGUGGAAUGGCUUUAAACGACCCGUCUUGAA